GACGAACGCUGGCGGCGUGCCUAAUACAUGCAAGUAGAACGCUGAAGAGAGGAGCUUACUCUUCUUGGAUGAGUUGCGAACGGGUGAGUAACGCGUAGGUAACCUGCCUUGUAGCGGGGGAUAACUAUUGGAAACGAUAGCUAAUACCGCAUAACAAUGGAUGACACAUGUCAUUUAUUUGAAAGGGGCAAUUGCUCCACUACAAGAUGGACCUGCGUUGUAUUAGCUAGUAGGUGAGGUAAUGGCUCACCUAGGCGACGAUACAUAGCCGACCUGAGAGGGUGAUCGGCCACACUGGGACUGAGACACGGCCCAGACUCCUACGGGAGGCAGCAGUAGGGAAUCUUCGGCAAUGGGGGCAACCCUGACCGAGCAACGCCGCGUGAGUGCAGAAGGUUUUCGGAUCGUAAAGCUCUGUUGUAAGUCAAGAACGGGUGUGAGAGUGGAAAGUUCACACUGUGACGGUAGCUUACCAGAAAGGGACGGCUAACUACGUG
rnacentral:rRNA from 1 species